GAUGAACGCUGGCGGUAUGCUUAACACAUGCAAGUCGAACGGACUCUUCGGAGUUAGUGGCGGACGGGUGAGUAACGCGUGAGAAUCUGGCUUUGGGUUCGGGACAACCACUGGAAACGGUGGCUAAUACCGGAUGUGCCGAGAGGUAAAAGAGAAAUUGCCUGAAGAUGAGCUCGCGUCUGAUUAGCUAGUUGGUGAGGUAAAGGCUCACCAAGGCAGCGAUCAGUAGCUGGUCUGAGAGGAUGACCAGCCACACUGGGACUGAGACACGGCCCAGACUCCUACGGGAGGCAGCAGUGGAGAAUUUUCCGCAAUGGGCGAAAGGCUGACGGAGCAAUACCGCGUGAGGGAAGAAGGCUCUUGGGGUGUAAACCUCUUUUCUUAGGGAAGAACAAAAUGACGGUACCUAAGGAAUCAGCAUCGGCUAACUCCGUG
rnacentral:rRNA from 1 species